ACGAUCAGUAGGGGUUCUGAGAGGAAGGUCCCCCACAUUGGAACUGAGACACGGUCCAAACUCCUACGGGAGGCAGCAGUGAGGAAUAUUGGUCAAUGGGCGAGAGCCUGAACCAGCCAAGUAGCGUGCAGGACGACAGCCCUAUGGGUUGUAAACUGCUUUUAUAAGGGAAUAAAGUGAGUCUCGUGAGACUUUUUGCAUGUACCUUAUGAAUAAGGACCGGCUAAUUCCGUGCCAGCAGCCGCGGUAAUACGGAAGGUCCGGGCGUUAUCCGGAUUUAUUGGGUUUAAAGGGAGCGUAGGCCGGAGAUUAAGCGUGUUGUGAAAUGUAGACGCUCAACGUCUGCACUGCAGCGCGAACUGGUUUCCUUGAGUACGCACAAAGUGGGCGGAAUUCGUGGUGUAGCGGUGAAAUGCUUAGAUAUCACGAAGAACUCCGAUUGCGAAGGCAGCUCACUGGAGCGCAACUGACGCUGAAGCUCGAAAGUGCGGGUAUCGAACAGGAUUAGAUACCCUGGUAGUCCGCACGGUAAACGAUGGAUGCCCGCUGUUGGUCUGAAUAGGUCAGCGGCCAAGCGAAAGCAUUAAGCAUCCCACCUGGGGAGUACGCCGGCAACGGUGAAACUCAAAGGAAUUGACGGGGGCCCGCACAAGCGGAGGAACAUGUGGUUCAAUUCGAUGAUACGCGAGGAACCUUACCCGGGCUUGAAUUGCAGAGGAAGGAUUUGGAGACAAUGACGCCCUUCGGGGCCUCUGUGAAGGUGCUGCAUGGUUGUCGUCAGCUCGUGCCGUGAGGUGUCGGCUUAAGUGCCAUAACGAGCGCAACCCCUCUCCUUAGUUGCCAUCAGGUCAUGCUGGGCACUCUGGGGACACUGCCACCGUAAGGUGUGAGGAAGGUGGGGACGACGUCAAAUCAGCACGGCCCUUACGUCCGGGGCUACACACGUGUUACAAUGGCAGGUACAGAGAGACGGUCCCUUGCAAAAGGGAUCAAAUCCUCAAAGCCUGUCUCAGUUCGGACUGGGGUCUGCAACCCGACCCCACGAAGCUGGAUUCGCUAGUAAUCGCGCAUCAGCCAUGGCGCGGUGAAUACGUUCCCGGGCCUUGUACACACCGCCCGUCAAGCCAUGAAAGCCGGGGGCGCCUAAAGUCCGUGACCGUAAGGAGCGGCCUAGGGCGAAACUGGUAAUUGGGGCUAAGUCGAACAAGGUA
rnacentral:rRNA from 1 species